GCAUGAGGCUUGAAGAUACAACACGUAAAACAAAUCCUGACAGCUCCGUGAUUGUAUUAUAAUAUUUAUAAACAACACAUAAACAAACUGAACAGACACGCCGCGCUGUAAAGUGCAGGAAUACAGUGACAAGAGACUCACCUUGUCCCGUUAACCAGAUGCUGAAAUACAGAGAUCAUUUGACGAAUAUAACCUCAACAUCAACAGCACUGUCCCGUUAACCAGAUGCUGAAAUACAGAGAUCAUUUGACGAAUAUAACCUCAACAUCAACAGCACACACAUUCAAAGACAGCCAGCUGACUGACAGAAGCUGAAGUUCUCCAUCAUCUCCACUAAGCGGCGACUACUGAAGGUAUGAAGCUGAAGUUCUCCAUCAUCUCCACUAAGCGGCGACUACUGAAGGCAUGAAGCUGAAGUUCUCCAUCAUCUCCACUAAGCGGCGUCAGCAGUAAACCUUGACUCUAUGAUGCUUGAUGAAGGUAACCUGUUGCCACUAUCCCAACAUGCCAUUUUACCAACAGACCAUGCAAUGAUGACAAAUGUUACACAAUUCUGAUCAUCUGAACUUUAAUAUGAAAAGACACAAAUAGAAAAUGCAGCAAGAAAAACUCAGCACAGUUGACGUAAGUUUUAAUUUGUUUAUUUUAAAAUUAAAAUAAAUAUCAAUGCAUGUAAAAAUCUCUGAGAAAACAAACACAA